CCUACGUGGGUCUGCAGUGGGGAAUAUUGGACAAUGGGCGAAAGCCUGAUCCAGCCAUGCCGCGUGUGUGAAGAAGGCCUUCGGGUUGUAAAGCACUUUCAGUGGGGAAGAAAGCCUUGGGGCUAAUACCCUCGAGGAAGGACAUCACCCACAGAAGAAGCACCGGCUAACUCCGUGCCAGCAGCCGCGGUAAUACGGAGGGUGCGAGCGUUAAUCGGAAUUACUGGGCGUAAAGCGCGCGUAGGCGGUCUGAUAAGCCGGUUGUGAAAGCCCCGGGCUCAACCUGGGAACGGCAUCCGGAACUGUCAGGCUAGAGUGCAGGAGAGGAAGGUAGAAUUCCCGGUGUAGCGGUGAAAUGCGUAGAGAUCGGGAGGAAUACCAGUGGCGAAGGCGGCCUUCUGGACUGACACUGACGCUGAGGUGCGAAAGCGUGGGUAGCAAACAGGAUUAGAUACCCCAGUAGUC
rnacentral:rRNA from 1 species